AAAGAUUUGGACACAACUGAGCGACUGAACUGAACUGAACUGAACUCUCAGCCUAUCCCUUCAGAACUUGAUCCAGCUUAGUAACUCAAGAAUUGAAAGAAAUUUUUAAGGCAAAGAUCAACUCAAAGAAGUAAAGAUCACAGAGAAGCAUGUACACUAAAGAACCACAAAAUGAACACUUGGAGGAUGAAAAUGUCCAGUCAUCUACAAUUACUGAGAUCCUCAGAGCUGAUGAACAUGAAGAAACUAAGGAAACCAUCUUGCCAGAAACAGAGGAAACAAAAUCACAGAUAGAAGAGAAGGUUUUUUGUCCUUCACUGAAUAGAGCUAUUACAAGUGGUAUGUGAAAUGAGAAAUGUGGAUUUGAUAAAUAUUAGAAUAUAAGCCAAUGAAGUGAAGUGAAAGUCAGUCUUGUCCAACUCUUGGCGACCCCAUGGACCGUAGCCUGCCAGGCUCCUCUGUCCAUGGGGAUUCUCCAGGUAAGAAUACUGGAGUGGGUUGCCAUUUCCUUCUCCAAUAAGCCAACAAAGCCACUGCUUAAUCUAUAUACUCCAAAUCAAAUGAGCAGCUCUAUUUAUAAGCAAUAUGUGGACAAAGAGGAAAUAGUUCCUUGAAUGUGUCAAAAAUAAUAACUGCUUAACAGAUUUAUAUUUUAGUGUUUGUCAUGACUGUUUAUGUCAAAUUUUGGAAAUUAGAAACAAUUAAUAGAUUUUUAUUUAAAACCUACUUUUGACAUUUAGUUUUAAGGUAACUAGAAGGAACAUUAUACUUCUGGCAAUAUUAAUGUUCUUAUUAAACUUUAGCCCCAAAUUUUCAAACAGCUGUUGCCUUUAAAAGUUGUAUAAAACUUAGCUUCCCUACUAAAAUUUUAGAGCAUUUCAGUGUCACCAAAUAUUUAUAAAAGGUUAACAUCCCAGAUACUUCUAGUUUCUGGUCUAACAUCAUCACUCUAUCCUAACAACAAAGAGCUGAACAAAUUGAAAAUUCAACGAACUCUUCUUAGUUCCAUCCAAGAACUGAGGUCACAGGGCAAAUAACUGCCCCCAAAAUUAGGGAUAGUCAGAUUGAUACAGAUAGGAGGAGCGAAAAUGUGUUUAGAAUCAAACCCCAUAGCCACCAAAAACACUCAGAGGGCUCAGACAA